rnacentral:rRNA from 1 species
AGCGAACGCUGGCGGCAGGCUUAACACAUGCAAGUCGAACGCCCCGCAAGGGGAGUGGCAGACGGGUGAGUAACACGUGGGAACGUACCCUUUGGUUCGGAAUAGCUUGGGGAAACUCAAGCUAAUACCGGAUAAGCCCUUAUGGGGAAAGGUUUACUGCCGAAGGAUCGGCCCGCGUCUGAUUAGCUAGUUGGUGAGGUAAUGGCUCACCAAGGCGACGAUCAGUAGCUGGUCUGAGAGGAUGAUCAGCCACACUGGGACUGGGACACGGCCCAGACUCCUACGGGAGGCAGCAGUGGGGGAUAUUGGACAAUGGGGGCAACCCUGAUCCAGCCAUGCCGCGUGAGUGAUGAAGGCCUUAGGGUUGUAAAGCUCUUUUACCCGGGACGAUAAUGACUGUACCGGGAGAAUAAGCCCCGGCUAACUUCGUGCCAGCCGCCGCCGUAA